rnacentral:rRNA from 1 species
UACGUAGGGAGCGAGCGUUGUCCGGAAUUACUGGGUGUAGAGGGAGCGUAGGCGGGCGAGAAAGUUGAAUGUUAAAUCUACCGGCUUAACUGGUAGCUGCGUUCAAAACUUCUUGUCUUGAGUGAAGUAGAGGCAGGCGGAAUUCCUAGUGUAGCGGUGAAAUGCGUAGAUAUUAGGAGGAACACCAGUGGCGAAGGCGGCCUGCUGGGCUUUAACUGACGCUGAGGCUCGAAAGCGUGGGGAGCAAACAGG